rnacentral:rRNA from 1 species
UACAGAGGGUGCGAGCGUUAAUCGGAAUGACUGGGCGUAAAGGGCGCGUAGGCGGGAAUAUAAGUUAGAUGUGAAAGGCCUGGGCUCAACCUAGGUUGGUCAUUUAAUACUGUAUUUCUAGAGAGAAGUAGAGGGCAGUAGAAUUCCCGGAGUAGCGGUGAAAUGCGUAGAUAUCGGGAGGAAUACCAGUGGCGAAGGCGACUGUCUGGACUUUUACUGACGCUGAGGCGCGAAAGCGUGGGGAGCAAACAGG